GCGGGUGUGGCGGAAUUGGCAGACGCACCAGACUUAGGAUCUGGCGCCGCACAGCGUGGGGGUUCGACUCCCUUCACCCGCA
rnacentral:tRNA from 1 species